rnacentral:rRNA from 1 species
CAGUAGCCGCGGUAAUACGUAGGUCCCGAGCGUUGUCCGGAUUUAUUGGGCGUAAAGGGAGCGCAGGCGGUUUAGUAAGUCUGAAGUUAAAGGCAUUGGCUCAACCAAUGUAUGCUUUGGAAACUGUUAGACUUGAGUGCAGAAGGGGAGAGUGGAAUUCCAUGUGUAGCGGUGAAAUGCGUAGAUAUAUGGAGGAGCACCGGUGGCGAAAGCGGCUCUCUGGUCUGUCACUGACGCUGAGGCUCGAAAGCGUGGGUAGCGAACAGGAUUAGAUACCCCCGUAGUCCCUGUCUCUUAUACC